rnacentral:piRNA from 1 species
CCAAGGUCCAGAGAUCCAUUGCAUGC